rnacentral:tRNA from 1 species
GCGGGCAUAGUUCAGUGGUAGAAUGUCUCCUUCCCAAGGAGAAGAUCGCGAGUUCGAGUCUCGUUGCCCGCU